rnacentral:misc_RNA from 1 species
CUGUCAAAGCAACUCGACGACGCUUACAUCCAGACAUCGACGCAAGGAAUAAGACCGCAGCGCGCCAUCGUUGCCAAGCCUCAGCACACCCUCACGAGGCAGCUCCGAUUAUUCACCACGAGCAAAGAUCCACAACGCCGAACUCCGAGAGCGAGCAGACGCCUAAAGCGACAAAAGCCCGGACACCAUCGAGCCAAGCGGAGUGACAAAGAGCCUCCACAACACGGACGAACACGCAAACUGGAGGUCUUCUGGGCCGCGCCUUCAAGAAGGAGAAACAACGUCGAAAAGCCGUCGCCGCCCGCCUGGUACAAACCAAGCAAAGUUUCCUCCGAAGACCUAGCAGAGCAGUGUAGAUCGCCAGCACCAAGGAGAAAGCUGAAGGGUCAGCCACGCCGAUGUCACCCCGCCAAGCCGCCGCGUGAUGUCACCUUCUGCCGUCCACCGACGCACCAACCCACCAGCCCCAACCCUCAGAGCCCCAACGCCGGUCGAGCACCAGCGAGAGACCCCAAGAAGGCCGAGGCGAGGGUUCCCGCAUGGGGCGAGAGGUCCAAAGACGGCACCCUCAAUAGGGUAGGGGUGGCGCCCGCGGGCGUCACCGCUGUCCGCCCGCAAGCGAGCAUGGCUUUCGCCGGAGGACCUCCCACCACACGCCCCAACGCACGGAGCCACCCGACCCUGCCCACACCACAAGCCGAAACGAGAGGAGAGAUGAAUCUAGCCGGAGAGGCUCAAGAUCCGGCCCCCAGCCCCAGACCCAACCAGAGGGCCACCGACGCGCCAGCUACCACAACAGUCGCAAAGGAGCGCCGCCCGCCACCCCCUCCGGCUGGGCCCAAGGGCCUGGUCGAGCAGCGGCAGCACCUCGCGCCGCACCCCCCGCCGGCCAUCCCUGGCAGCAGCCGAUGCGACGCGCCAUAA